rnacentral:SRP_RNA from 1 species
CGGGUCCUGCGCAAUCUAAGCCUGCGAACCUCGUCAGGUGGGGAACCAAGCAGCGAUAAGCAGUGUCUUGGAUGUGAUGCAGG